rnacentral:rRNA from 1 species
UACGUAGGGUGCAAGCGUUAAUCGGAAUUACUGGGCGUAAAGCGUACGCAGGCGGCUGGGUAAGACAGGUGUGAAAUCCCCGGGCUUAACCUGGGAACUGCAUUUGUGACUGCCCGGCUAGAGUCCGUUAGAAAAAGGUGGAAUUCCACGUAUAGCAGUGAAAUGCGUAGAGAUGUAGAGGAACACCGAUGGCGAAGGCAGCCCCCUAAAACAGGACUGACGCUCAUGUACGAAAGCGUAAAAAGCAAACAGG